CUACGGGUUGCAGCAGUGGGGAAUAUUGGACAAUGGGGGAAACCCUGAUCCAGCAAUGCCGCGUGUGUGAAGAAGGCCUGCGGGUUGUAAAGCACUUUCGGUUGGGAGGACUGCUUCUAGCACUAAUAUUGUUGGAAGUUGACGUUACCUUCAGAAGAAGCACCGGCUAACUCCGUGCCAGCAGCCGCGGUAAUACGGAGGGUGCAAGCGUUAAUCGGAAUUACUGGGCGUAAAGCGCGCGUAGGCGGCUAGAUCAGUCGGGUGUGAAAGCCCCGGGCUUAACCUGGGAACGGCAUCCGAUACUGUCUAGCUUGAGUACAGGAGAGGAGAGUGGAAUUCCACAUGUAGCGGUGAAAUGCGUAGAUAUGUGGAGGAACACCAAUGGCGAAGGCAGCUCUCUGGCCUGAUACUGACGCUGAGGUGCGAAAGCGUGGGGGGCAAACAGGAUUAGAUACCCUGGUAGUC
rnacentral:rRNA from 1 species